UACGUAGGCAGCGAGCGUUGUUCGGAGUUACUGGGCGUAAAGGGCGCGUAGGCGGCUUGUCGCGUCGUUCGUGAAAACCUGCAGCUCAACUGCAGGCUUGCGGUCGAUACGGGCAGGCUAGAGUUCGGUAGGGGAGACUGGAAUUCCUGGUGUGAGCGGUGGAAAUGCGCAGAUAUCAGGAGGAACACCGGUGGCGAAGGCGGGUCUCUGGGCCGAUACUGACGCUGAGGAGCGAAAGCGUGGGGAGCGAACAGG
rnacentral:rRNA from 1 species